GAAAUACUUGUAUCAUCAUUAAUACUAGCACAAAUUUUGUUUACUAACUUAUUGCAAAAACUCUGAAAGGGAAAAGCGGAACAAGCCUCUGCACUCAUACCGUUACCUAUAAAUUGUCCAAAUCUCGACACGAUUACUUUAUUCAACUCCAAACCUACCUUAAACCCAUCUUGACAUAGAAGGGAGCCGCUAACUAGAUUCAUAUUCAUAGUAGGUACAUGCUGCACGUUCCUUAGUAGCAC
rnacentral:lncRNA from 1 species